UUAUGGUAGAACCGGGGUAAGCGUGUAGGAGGAGGACCAGGUAAAUCCGGGCCUCAUAAACUCUGAGACGUGAUACCGAGCCGCUUCAGGCGAAGUCAUUGAUCCUAUGCUGCCUAGAAAAGCCCAGCAGCGAGUUGACAUGGUGCCCGUACCCCAAACCAACACAGGUGGACAGGUAGAGCAUACCAAGGCGAGUGGGAUAACUAUGGUUAAGGAACUCGGCAAAUUGCCUCCGUAACUUCGGGAGAAGGAGGACCCCAGUAGCGUGAUGAGACUUGCUCUCUGAGCGUGAAGGGGUGGCACAAAAUUGAGGGAAGCGACUGUUUACCAAAAACACAGCAGCGUGCUAAGCCGUAAGGCGCUGUAUACGCUGUGACUCCUGCCCGGUGCUGGAAGGUUACGGGGAUGGGUUAGUCCUUCGGGACGAAGCUCUGAACCUAAGCCCCAGUAAACGGCGGCCGUAACUAUAACGGUCCUAAGGUAGCGAAAUUCCUUGUCGGGUAAGUUCCGACCUGCACGAAUGGAGUAACGACUCCCCUACUGUCUCAACCAUAGACCCAGCGAAAUUGAAGUACGAGUAAAGAUGCUCGUUAGCUGCAGAAGGACGGAAAGACCCCGUGGACCUUUACUAUAACUUGAUGUUGUGUUUUGUCAUAUGUUGUGUAGGAUAGGUGGGAGACUUGGAAGCAUGGACGCUAGUCUGUGUGGAGUCAUCGUUGAAAUACCACCCUGCAUAUGGUGAGGCUCUAACCUAGACCCGUUAUCCGGGUUGGGGACAGCGUCAGGCGGGUAGUUUAACUGGGGCGGUUGCCUCCUAAAGAGUAACGGAGGCGCCCAAAGGUUCCCUCAGCCUGGUUGGCAAUCAGGCGUUGAGUGCAAUGGCAAAAGGGAGCUUGACUGCGAGACCUACAAGUCGAGCAGGAGCGAAAGCUGGGCAUAGUGAUCCGGCGGUUGCGUGUGGAAGCGCCGUCGCUCAACGGAUAAAAGGUACCCCGGGGAUAACAGGCUAAUCUUGCCCAAGCGUCCAUAGCGACGGCAAGGUUUGGCACCUCGAUGUCGGCUCAUCGCAUCCUGGGGCUGAAGCAGGUCCCAAGGGUUGGGCUGUUCGCCCAUUAAAGCGGUACGCGAGCUGGGUUCAGAACGUCGUGAGACAGUUCGGUCCCUAUCCUCUGCAGCCGGAGGUGAAUUGAGGAAAGCUGUCCCUAGUACGAGAGGACCGGGACGGACGCAGCUCUCGUGUGCCAGUUGUCCUGCCAAGGGCAUGGCUGGUUAGCGACCUGCGGAAAGGAUAACCGCUGAAAGCAUCUAAGCGGGAAGCCUCUUCCAAGAUGAAUUCACCCACAGGGUUAACCUGGUAUGGCCCGUGGUAGACCACCACGUUGAUAGGCCGGAAGUGUAAGCGUGGCAACACGUUCAGCCGACCGGUACUAAUCGGCCGAGGGCU
rnacentral:rRNA from 1 species